rnacentral:rRNA from 1 species
UACGAAGGGGGCAAGCGUUGUUCGGAAUCACUGGGCGUAAAGCGCGUGUAGGCGGCUUGGCAAGUCGGGUGUGAAAUCCCGAGGCUCAACCUCGGAACUGCACUCGAAACUGCCUGGCUCGAGUCCCGGAGAGGGUGGCGGAAUUCCCGGUGUAGGGGUGAAAUCCGUAGAUAUCGGGAGGAACACCAGUGGCGAAGGCGGCCACCUGGCCGGUGACUGACGCUGAGACGCGAAAGCGUGGGGAGCAAACAGG